rnacentral:rRNA from 1 species
GUUGAUCCUGCCGGACCUUACUGCUAUCGGGGUGGGACUAAGACAUGCGAGUCGGGCGUCUCUAGCUAUGUUGAGACGCGGCAGACGGCUCAGUAACGCGUGGCUAACCUACCCUCAGGACGAAGAUAACCCCGGGAAACUGGGGAUAAUAUUCGAUAGGUGAGAAUGUCUGAAAUGACUUUUCUCCUAAAGGACCUAGAUACAUGCUUCUAUGUCGCCUGGGGAUGGGGCCGCGCCCGAUCAGGUUGUUGGUGAGGUAACGGCUCACCAAGCCUAUAACCGGUACGGGCCGUGAGAGCGGUAGCCCGGAGAUGGGUACUGAGACAAGGACCCAGGCCCUACGGGGCGCAGCAGUCGCGAAAACUCCGCAAUGCACGAAAGUGUGACGGGGCUACCCCGAGCGCCAUCCGCUGAGGAUGGCUUUUCUUUGGUAUAACUAGCCAUUGGAAUAAGGAGAGGGCAAGACUGGUGUCAGCCGCCGCGGUAAUACCAGCUCUCCGAGUGGUGGGGAUGAUUAUUGGGCUUAAAGCGUCCGUAGCCGGCUUAGCAAGUUUCCUGUUAAACUCAGCGACUCAAUCGUUGGAUCGCGGGAAAUACUGCUAGGCUAGGAGGCGGGAGAGGUCAACGGUACUUCUGGGGUAGGGGUGAAAUCCUAUAAUCCCGGGAGGACCACCAGUGGCGAAGGCUGUUGACUAGAACGCGCUCGACGGUGAGGGACGAAAGCUGGGGUAGCAAACCGGAUUAGAUACCCGGGUAGUCCCAGCUGUAAACGAUGCGAGCUAGGUGUUGGGAUGGCUACGUGCCAUUUCAGUGCCGCAGGGAAGCCAUUAAGCUCGCCGCCUGGGGAGUACGGCCGCAAGGCUGAAACUUAAAGGAAUUGGCGGGAAU